UACGUAGGGUGCGAGCGUUGUCCGGAAUUAUUGGGCGUAAAGAGCUUGUAGGCGGUCUGUCGCGUCUGCCGUGAAAUUUCGGGGCUCAACCCCGAACUUGCGGUGGGUACGGGCAGACUAGAGUGUGGUAGGGGAGACUGGAAUUCCUGGUGUAGCGGUGAAAUGCGCAGAUAUCAGGAGGAACACCGGUGGCGAAGGCGGGUCUCUGGGCAACAACUGACGCUGAGGAGCGAAAGCGUGGGGAGCGAACAGG
rnacentral:rRNA from 1 species